rnacentral:rRNA from 1 species
UACGUAGGGUGCGAGCGUUGUCCGGAAUUAUUGGGCGUAAAGAGCUUGUAGGCGGUUUGUCGCGUCUGCUGUGAAAAUCCGGGGCUCAACCCCGGACUUGCAGUGGGUACGGGGCAGACUAGAGUGUGGUAGGGGAGACCGGAAUUCCUGGUGUAGCGGUGGAAUGCGCAGAUAUCAGGAGGAACACCGAUGGCGAAGGCAGGUCUCUGGGCCACUACUGACGCUGAGAAGCGAAAGCAUGGGGAGCGAACAGG